GCCUUCCCAACGGCAACUUCCGGCUGCGGCGGAACAUCAUCAUGGGGCCGUCAUUGCCGGCAUCCCCGACGGCAGCGAGGCUGUGCCCUCCUUCCCAAAGCUGCCGGCGUCCGAGCAUGUUUACAGCUGGAAAAAUACAACUGAUAUAGAGAACCAUAGAAUUAUUUAGGUCGGAAAAGACCUCUGAGGUCAAGUCCAACUAUUAGCACAGCACUACCAAGUACAGCACUGCACCAUGUACCUGAGUGUCACAUCUACACAACUUUUAAAUACUUUCAGGGAUGGGAACUCAACCACUUCCCUGGGCACCCUGUUCCAGAGUUGGUAACUCUUUCAGUGAAGAAACUUCUCAUGUCCAACCAAAACCUCGCUGGAGCAACUUGAAAUUCUGUCCUCUUUUUAACUCUGAGAAGAGACCAACAAUCCCCACAACCCCCUCGCUAUAACCUCCUGUCAGGUAGUUGUAGAGAGCAAUAAGGUCUCCCCUCAGCUCCCUUUUCUCAAGGUGGAAACAAAUCAGAGUGAUAUGACACACGGAAUUCAACAUUAACUUAUUUUUUCAGAAAGAACUGUUGAUGAUGUGUUUAGAAAGAGUGCUUGAUGUUCAGGGAAAAAAAGAGAGGAGAACAUGGUGCUUAAGUGUGGGUCUGGCCUUGGUAGAGAAAGAAGCAACUGCUCCACUUGCAGACACGACACCAACAUGCUUCUUUGCAAUGUGACCUAAUCCGCACCUACAGGAAAUCAGUUGGAAUGACUGUUUCAAAGUGGAAUGACUGUUUCAAAGUGAGAAGCUCCAGAUGUACAACUCCUCACAGGAAGAACUGGUUUUCACCUCUGAAGCUCAUUCCUGGCUUGUAACAACUUAAUGUGUAUCAGGCUACUGACCUCUUCCUCAAGCACCAGGUGGCAGGUCUGGCUGAAGCCUUACAGAUUCUGUCAUUCAAAAUGAAACCAUUUGCUAAAAAA